AAUAGUCAAUCUGUAACCUAAUACUUUUAAUAAUAAUGAAAGUAGAGCUAUGCAUUGAAGAUAACGAGAAACGUAGUCGUGGAAAUAAAACCUACACUGUUUAUUUAGUUAUAACACGACAUGAUAGUGCAACUCAGGAACAAAAAUAUCACCAGGAGAACACAAAGUUUGGCGUCGUUUUUCGGAAUUUGUUUCUUUGCGAGAAUAUCUUUCAAACAAAUAUCCUGCCGUCGUACUGCCUCCGCUGCCUCCUAAAGAUUUCUUAUCUUUAAAAGACGCUGCUUAUAUAGAAAAAAGAAAAUUAGGUCUCCAGACAUUUCUUCGACGAACUUCCUCUCAUCCUAAAUUGUUGGAAGAUGAAUACUUUUGUCAAUUUCUUUCCGCCGAAGAAUGGACGCCUGUGAAAGCUAGAGCUCUAAACUUCAUACCUCAACGAAAGGCUAAAGAACCUUCAUUUGAACUUUUAAACAAAAAUUCAAAGGCGAAAUCAACAAAGAAAGCUCUUCAGUUUUUUGU